ACCAAUACGUUGAUAGAUUUUAACAAAUUUUUCUUUUAAUGAUAACGUACUCUCGGUGCUUUUUGAUAUUUAAUUAUGUAAAUAUGUUUGGAUUUUUGAUCACAAUCAGUAAAGUAGAAUAGUUUUUUAUCAGUUGUAAUGACUUUUUUCCCAGUUUAUCUUAACAAAUCUAUAAAUUUCUUCUGAUUUUGUAAACCUCUCAAUUGCUCAAGGUUAUAAUGCACGUAAACAUCCUUUUGAAACUUUUUUUCAAAAUUGAACAUUUUAUCAUUGUAACAUUUAAUUGACUUUCUCGAUAUUUAAGCUUUUCUAGAUAACUCUGAAAUAGUUGGUGGUUUGUCUUUUUAUUAAUAAGUUUUUCAUCUGAAAAAGUUAACAUAGAUUUAGCUUUAAUGGUCAAUGCCAAUGUUUAACUUUUUUGCCAUUUAAAUCAUCUUUUCUUUUAAUUCUCACCACUCACAAAACUGUACUAAUGGUGGUUAUUAAAACUUCGAUUGAUUCCUUUUCUAAAAAUUUCUUAAUCGUUCUAUACCAAUAUCUAAAUUGUAACAACAAUCAAAUAUGUUCUUUAGUAUUUUUUUGACUUUUUUUUUUUGUCAAAAUGCUUUGUUUACAUUAUUCUUUUUUUUUUUCUAACUACUUUAAAUAUAUGAUUAAAUUAUAAAUAAUAUUGUUAAAUAUUGUUUAAACAAAAAGUAAUUAAGUUUCAAAAUUGUUUCCAUUUCAAUGUCUAAUAUAAAAUAUUUAUAUCAUUUUUGUGUUUAUAUUUGUUUAUAUUUAGAUAAAAAAGCACUUAAAGGUGUAAGAGUUAAAAAUCUAUCAAGGCAGAUAUUAUGCAAAACAAAACAAAAAAGGAUCCAAGAUAGUGAUGACAAUGGACCAGAUAGCUGGCUGAAGGUUAGACCUAAGUGUUUAUUUAUUGCUCAAAGGAGUUUUUAACUUAAUCCAGAGUUGUUUGUUGCUUGGCCUAGUUAAAUCACUCAUAUUGAGUAACAACUCUUAGAUUUAGAGUUGACUUGAAAUGAAAUAGAAAGGAAAAACUGUAUUUUUGUGUAUUUGGAUUGAUUUUGAUUUACUUAUAUUUAUAUUUGUUAUUUAACCAAUAUAUAUUACUUAAAGAUAAGUUUUUAAGUAUAUCUAUAUUGUAAAUGUAUAUAGGAAUAUGUAAUAUAAUUAUAUUAUUAUGUGCUUCUAUAUACUUUAUCAAAGUUAUUAAUAAUUUUUUAGAAAGUGUUUAUUACUUUACUAUUUUUUUUAUUUAUCUGUGUAUUUGCUGUUAAAGUGAAAUGUAAAUCACGGAAAUUUUAAUAUCUUUUAUGUAAAUCAAAGAAAAUUUGUUUUCAGAAAAUAUUUUC